CUACAUAUCAAUAAGCGGAGGAAAAGAAACCAACAGGGAUUGCCCUAGUAACGGCGAGUGAAGCGGCAACAGCUCAAAUUUGAAAUCUGGCUCUUUUAGGGUCCGAGUUGUAAUUUGCAGAGGGCGCUUUGGCGUUGGCAGCGGUCCAAGUUCUUUGGAACAGGACGUCGCAGAGGGUGAGAAUCCCGUACGUGGUCGCUAGCCUUCGCCGUGUAAAGCCCCUUCGACGAGUCGAGUUGUUUGGGAAUGCAGCUCUAAAUGGGAGGUAAAUUUCUUCUAAAGCUAAAUACUGGCCAGAGACCGAUAGCGCACAAGUAGAGUGAUCGAAAGAUGAAAAGCACUUUGGAAAGAGAGUCAAAUAGCACGUGAAAUUGUUGAAAGGGAAGCGCUUGCAGCCAGACUUGCCUGUAGUUGCUUAUCCGGACUUUUGUCCGGUGCACUCUUCUGCGGGCAGGCCAGCAUCAGUCUAGGCGGUUGGAUAAAGGUCUCUGUCAUGUACCUCUCUUCGGGGAGGCCUUAUAGGGGAGACGACAUGCAACCAGCCUGGACUGAGGUCCGCGCAUCUGCUAGGAUGCUGGCGUAAUGGCUGUAAGCGGCCCGUCUUGAAACACGGACCAAGGAGUCUAACAUCUAUGCGAGUGUUUGGGUGUCAAGCCCAGACGCGUAAUGAAAGUGAACGGAGGUGGGAACCCUUUGGGUGCACCAUCGACCGAUCCUGAUGUCUUCGGAUGGAUUUGAGUAAGAGCAUGGCUGUUGGGACCCGAAAGAUGGUGAACUAUGCUUGAAUAGGGUGAAGCCAGAGGAAACUCUGGUGGAGGCUCGCAGCGGUUCUGACGUGCAAAUCGAUCGUCAAAUUUGGGCAUAGGGGCGAAAGACUAAUCGAACUAUCUAGUAGCUGGUUCCUGCCGAAGUUUCCCUCAGGAUAGCAGUAACGUAUUCAGUUUUAUGAGGUAAAGCGAAUGAUUAGAGGCCUGGGGGUUGAAACAACCUUCACCUAUUCUCAAACUUUAAAUAUGUAAGAAGUCCUUGUUACUUGAUUGAACGUGGACACUUGAAUGUACCGUUACUAGUGGGCCAUUUUUGGUAAGCAGAACUGGCGAUGCGGGAUGAACCGAACGCGGGGUUAA
rnacentral:rRNA from 1 species